AACGAACGCUGGCGGCAUGCCUAACACAUGCAAGUCGAACGAGACCUUCGGGUCUAGUGGCGCACGGGUGCGUAACGCGUGGGAACCUUCCCUUAGGUUCGGAAUAACUCCACGACAGGGGUGCUAAUACCGGAUAAUGUCUUCGGACCAAAGAUUUAUCGCCUUUGGAUGGGCCGGCGUUGGAUUAGCUAGUUGGUAGGGUAAAAGCCUACCAAGGCGACGAUCCAUAGCUGGUCUGAGAGGAUGAUCAGCCACACUGGGACUGAGACACGGCCCAGACUCCUACGGGAGGCAGCAGAGGGGAAUAUUGGACAAUGGGCGAAAGCCUGAUCCAGCAAUGCCGCGUGAGUGAUGAAGGCCGUAGGGUUGUAAAGCUCUUUUACCCGGGAUGAUAAUGACAGUACCGGGAGAAUAAGCGCCGGCUAACUCCGUG
rnacentral:rRNA from 1 species